GAUGUACUCCCUCCGUCCGGAAAUACUUGUCAUCAAGAUGAUUAAAAAAGGAUGUAUCUAGAUGUAUUUUAGUUCUAGAUACACCCCUUCUUAUCCAUUUUGAUGACAAGUAUUUUCGGACGGAGGGAGUAUAUA
rfam:Triticum aestivum genome assembly, contig: Triticum_aestivum_CS42_TGACv1_scaffold_225733_3B